AGGUGGAGGAGCAUUUCUGGAUGAUGUUUUCAAUCUCGUGUGUAUCUAGAAAAAGAGAGGAAAACCCAAGAAACAUUUCAGAAAACCUUUGCCAUUAAUGCUCAGUUCCAGCUCCUUCAAAGUUCAGAUAAGCCAUAGUCCCCAGUCCCAUAAAGUUUCCAAAUCCAAGAAAGAAAAAUGACUUGCAUGCAGAUGACUAUAAAACACACAAAAAACAACUGAGGGAAACCAGAGAAGGCUUCCUGGAGGAGGUGAUGUUUCCACUGAAAUUUUUAAAAUUAAAUUUUCAAGGAUUAGUGAAAAUUCAACAAGUGAAGAGGAAAAGCAGGAAACAUUCUACAUAUAGGGAAGUGAGUGAACCUAACCAUCAAGCUGGAGAUCCUUGGUCUCUGGCUGCCUGGAUAUAUAAGAGGGCUGCUGGCUUUGAAAACAACUCUGCUUUCUACCCUACCAGAUGCUUCUUUACAGAUGGAAGAAAAGUGCCCCUGAGAUCUUAAAGACUAUGCCAACAGAAC